CAUGCAGAGGUAAGAUGGGGCAUAGGCUAGAGGCAUUGCCACAUGCAAAGGUAAGAUGGGGCAUAGGCUAGAGGCAUUGACACAUGCAGAGGUAAGAUGGGGCAUAGGCUAGAGGCAUUGACACAUGCAGAGGUAAGAUGGGGCAUAGGCUAGAGGCAUUGCCACAUGCAAAGGUAAGAUGUCACAUAAGCCAGAGGCAUUGACACAUGCAGAGGUAAGAUGUCACAUAAGCCAGAGGCAUUGACACAUGCAGAGGUAAGAUGUCACAUAAGCCAGAGGCAUUGACACAUGCAGAGGUAAGAUGUCACAUAAGCCAGAGGCAUUGACACAUGCAGAGGUAAGAUGUCACAUAAGCCAGAGGCAUUGACACAUGCAGAGGUAAGAUGUCACAUAAGCCAGAGGCAUUGACACAUGCAGAGGGAAGAUGUCACAUAAGCCAGAGGCAUUGACACAUGCAGAGGUAAGAUGUCACAUAAGCCAGAGGCAUUGACACAUGCAGAGGUAAGAU